UACGUAGGGACCAAGCGUUUGUCCGGAAUCAUUGGGCGUAAAGCGCGCGUAGGUGGCCAUUUAAGUCCGCUGUGAAAGUCAGAGGCUCAAACCUUUGAAAGCCGGUGGAUAACCUGGGAUGGCUAGAGUACGGAAGAGGCGAGUGGAAUUCCUGGUGUAGCGGUGGAAUGCGCAGAUAUCAGGAGGAACACCAAUAGCGAAGGCAGCUCGCUGGGACGUUACUGACACUAAGGCGCGAAAGCGUGGGGAGCGAACAGG
rnacentral:rRNA from 1 species